UACAGAGGUCUCGAGCGUUGUUCGGAUUCAUUGGGCGUAAAGGGUGCGUAGGUGGCGCUGUAAGUCGGGUGUGAAAUCCUGAGGCUUAACCUCGGAACUGCAUUCGAUACUGCGGCGCUUGAGGACUGGAGAGGAGACUGGAAUUCAUGGUGUAGCAGUGAAAUGCGUAGAGAUCAUGAGGAAGACCAGUGGCGAAGGCGGGUCUCUGGACAGUUCCUGACACUGAGGCGCGAAGGCCAGGGGAGCAAACGGG
rnacentral:rRNA from 1 species